GUGCGUUAAGAGUUCUGCCGACUGAUAGCCGUGGGAAAGGGGAUUAUAGCAGUGACAUCUGGAUCGGAGAUUUCAAGUUGGGGUAAUCUAAAAUGUACGCAAGAAAAUUUUAGUCUGAUUCUUGGGAGUGGCAUAGAAAGGACUGAUAAACAAUUCAAUUAGCGGGAUUGCAGAUGUGAAAAGCAUGAAAAAUCGCAUUCGGACUCACGAUGAAUGUUCCCAGGCUAAGCAGGCACUCGACUCUAAUGGGACGUUUGACAAAGUGGAUGCGAUUGACCUAUGUCCAAGCUCAUUUAUUGAUUCCGCACAUUUGCAUAGAAUAGGGAUGGGCCUAUCUAGUAUUCUGGUACUGCCCUCCCUUUGAUCUGAUUGCGACGCGUGUCCUGUUCGGCGAUGCAAAUUGGUCACACCCUUCAGAUGUCAAAAGAAAUAUCGACGGAUAGACGGCAAAUCGAUUUGCAUGGCAGGGCACUAAUAAUGCCUUUUG